rnacentral:rRNA from 1 species
UACGUAGGGGGCAAGCGUUGUCCGGAAUCAUUGGGCGUAAAGCGCGUGUAGGCGGUUCGGUAAGUCUGCUGUGAAAGUCCAGGGCUCAACCCUGGGAUGCCGGUGGAUACUGUCGGACUAGAGUACGGAAGAGGCGAGUGGAAUUCCCGGUGUAGCGGUGAAAUGCGCAGAUAUCGGGAGGAACACCAAUUGCGAAGGCAGCUCGCUGGGACGUCACUGACGCUCAGGCACGAAAGCGUGGGGAGCAAACAGGG